rnacentral:lncRNA from 1 species
GUGGUAAUCCAGUUCCCGAAAGCUGUCAGAUUAUCUGAUGUUGAUUUCAGGAGCUUUGAAGACAUAAUAUGAGGAAGUCUGAGACAUCGAGUAGUUAAAACCAAGCUGAAACUGCCUUUCAAGAAUAAGUUUUAGUGGAAGAAUCAAAAUUGAGCCUGCCAAUGUAGGAAAAUCCAAUUGUGUUAUGAAAUACUUCUACUUCAUGGGAACAGUGCGCUAGGAUACGUCAUCUACAGAACAUGGAAGUGCAAGCAAGGAGCAGCAUACUUGGAUUUGAUUCUGCAUCAGUCUGUUCUCACUGAAAUUGCUUUUUCCUUCACCGCACUUGUUGUCGGAGGUCCUGCAAAACUCUGCGAGCUGAAAAGUUGUGGUCACUCAGGGUUGCUCAUCCUAUUUGCUGAACAACACGUCAACAACAGAGCUGGGAGCAGAGGAGCUGUGUGUUCCUCAGGCAAAUAG